UACGUAGGUGGCAAGCGUUGUCCGGAUUACUGGGCGUAAAGAGCGCGCAGGCGGUCGAAUAAGUCGAAUGUGAAAGCCCCCGGCUCAACUGGGGAGGGUCAUUCGAUACUGAUCGACUCGAAGGCAGGAGAGGGUAGUGGAAUUCCCGGUGUAGUGGUGAAAUGCGUAGAUAUCGGGAGGAACACCAGUGGCGAAGGCGACUACCUGGCCUGUUCUUGACGCUGAGGCGCGAAAGCUAGGGGAGCAAAGCGGG
rnacentral:rRNA from 1 species